rnacentral:rRNA from 1 species
AACGAACGCUGGCGGUAUGCUUAACACAUGCAAGUCGAACGAACAAAAUUGGGGCUUGCUCCAAUUUUAGUGAGUGGCAAACGGGUGAGUAACACGUGGGAAUCUACCUAUCAGUACGGAAUAACAUUUGGAAACAGAUGCUAAUACCGUAUAUUCUCCAAGGAGGGAAGAUUUAUCGCUGAUAGAUGAGCCCGCGUAAGAUUAGGUAGUUGGUAGGGUAAUGGCCUACAAAGCCGACGAUCCUUAGCUGGUCUGAGAGGAUGAUCAGCCACACUGGGUCUGGGACACGGCCCAGACUCCGACGGGAGGCAGCAGUGGGGAAUAUUGGACAAUGGGCGAAAGCCUGAUCCAGCAAUACCGCGUGAAUGAUGAAGGGCUUAGGGUUGUAAAGUUCUUUUAGUUGGAAAGAUAAUGACGGUACCAACAGAAAAAGCCCCGGCUAACUCCGUGCCAGCCGCCGCAGUAA